rnacentral:lncRNA from 1 species
AGAGCUUGAGGGGUUCCUGGAGGGUGGCUGCUGCGGCGAGACGCCGAGCAUGUUUUCCAUCCAUUCCCACCUGCCCUGCUAGCUGAGACGUGAGAUUCGAGGGGUGCCGGAAUAUAACUGUGGGUUCUACUCCGCGAAGCGGGGUGGGUCUGGCCCGGGCUCACUUUGAGAAGCAGCCGCCUUCCAAUCUGCGGAAAUCCAACUUCUUCCACUUCGUCCUGGCCCUCUACGACAGACAGGGCCAGCCCGUGGAGAUCGAGAGGACAGCGUUUGUGGGGUUCGUGGAGAAGGAAAAAGAAGCCAACAGCGAAAAGACCAAUAACGGAAUUCACUACCGGCUUCAGCUUCUCUACAGCAAUGGGAUAAGGACGGAGCAGGAUUUCUACGUGCGCCUCAUUGACUCCAUGACAAAACAAGCCAUAGUGUAUGAAGGCCAAGACAAGAACCCAGAAAUGUGCCGAGUCUUGCUCACACAUGAGAUCAUGUGCAG